CCCGAGGCCGUUCCGCAGGUCGAGGCGGUGCCCGAUGUUGUUCCAGAGACCGAGGUGGUGCCCGAGUUGCUUCCAGAGACCGAGGCGGUGCCCGAUGCGCAGGCCGAGAUCGUUCCCGAGGCGGUGGCCGAUGCGCAGGCCGAGGUCGUUCCCGAGGCGGUGCCCUUGUCCAAGGCCGUUCCCGAGGCCGUGCCCGAGGCCGUUCCCGAGGCGGGGGCCUUGUCCAAUGCCGUUCCUGAGGCCGUUCCUGAGGCCGUUCCUGAGACCGUUCCCGAGGCGGUGUCCUGGUCCGAUGCCGUUCCUGAGGCCGUUCCUGAGGCCAUUCCAGAGGCGGUGGCCGAUGCUGUUCCGGAGGCCGAUGCGGGGCCCAAGAUGGCUCCGGAGGCGAUACCCGUGUCCAAGGCCGUUCCCGAGGCGGUGUCCUUGUCUGAGGUCGUUCCUGAUGCCGUUCCCAAUGCCGUGACCGGGCCAUCGCCACAGCCUGCUCCUUACUGGCUCCCCGAUUGGCAGGUUCCGUUCGGGCCACUCAAAUGGCGAAUUCCUCCCUGGCCGUCUGCACAACGAGAAUGGACUGAUCCACCGUGGCCACCUGAACUGCCUGGUCCCUCGUGGUCCCCUGAACUUUCGGGUCCACCGUGGCCACCUGAACUGCCUGGUCCCUCGUGGUCCCCUGAACUUUCGGGUCCACCGUGGCCACCUGAACUGCCUGGUCCCUCGUGGUCCCCUGAACUUUCGGGUCCACCGUGGCCCCCUGAACUGCCUGGUCCCUCGUGGUCCCCUGAACUUUCGGGUCCACCAUGGCCCCCUGAUCUGACCAAGCCACCUGGGCUACCAGGGGAGCCAUCGCUGCCGGUCCCAGUUCCCCUACACGGGCCUGGCCCGCCAUCCCUCCCCCUGUUCUGCCUCCACCAGUCCACCUCCCUCCUGGUCUCUUUGUUUUGUGUUUAUUUGGUU
ensembl:lncRNA